GGAAUCUUCGGAUUCUAGUGGCGGACGGGUGAGUAACGCGUAAGAAUCUAACUUCAGGACGGGGACAACAGUGGGAAACGACUGCUAAUACCCGAUGUGCCGCGAGGUGAAACCUAAUUGGCCUGAAGAAGAGCUUGCGUCUGAUUAGCUGGUUGGUGGGGUAAGAGCCUACCAAGGCGACGAUCAGUAGCUGGUCUGAGAGGAUGAGCAGCCACACUGGGACUGAGACACGGCCCAGACUCCUACGGGAGGCAGCAGUGGGGAAUUUUCCGCAAUGGGCGAAAGCCUGACGGAGCAACGCCGCGUGAGGGAGGAAGGUCUUUGGAUUGUAAACCUCUUUUCUCAAGGAAGAAGUUCUGACGGUACUUGAGGAAUCAGCCUCGGCUAACUCCGUGCCAGCAGCCGCGGUAAUACGGGGGAGGCAAGCGUUAUCCGGAAUUAUUGGGCGUAAAGCGUCCGCAGGUGGUCAGCCAAGUCUGCCGUCAAAUCAGGUUGCUUAACGACCUAAAGGCGGUGGAAACUGGCAGACUAGAGAGCAGUAGGGGUAGCAGGAAUUCCCAGUGUAGCGGUGAAAUGCGUAGAGAUUGGGAAGAACAUCGGUGGCGAAAGCGUGCUACUGGGCUGUAUCUGACACUCAGGGACGAAAGCUAGGGGAGCGAAAGGGAUUAGAUACCCCUGUAGUCCUAGCCGUAAACGAUGGAUACUAGGCGUGGCUUGUAUCGACCCGAGCCGUGCCGAAGCUAACGCGUUAAGUAUCCCGCCUGGGGAGUACGCACGCAAGUGUGAAACUCAAAGGAAUUGACGGGGGCCCGCACAAGCGGUGGANUNNNNNNGGUUUAAUUCGAUGCAACGCGAAGAACCUUACCAAGACUUGACAUGUCGCGAACCCNGGNGAAAGCUGGGGG
rnacentral:rRNA from 1 species